CAGGAGAAUGAUACAUACCAAAGAAUGAAAAAAAAUUGUAUUUAGUUUGUGUUAUUAUUUUGUAAUAAAAAUAAAAGUAAUUAAUUAAAAAAAAUACAUACAUUAUUCAAAUCUAUUUGGAGGUAGUGAAAUAUUCUUUAAAAGGCCUUUUGUUUUCCUUUAUUUACUAGUAAUAUCUUUUUACUAGAAUCUUUGGUUCAGUUUUAAGGUAUUCUCUUGUAUAUGGAGAUGUAAUCUGAUUUAGUAAUGAAAGAUUUUGAAUACUUUUGAUAUUGAGAUUAUUCUCGAUCGGUUUUUCUUUUCCUAAGGGUAGUGGUCAUUAUGUAGAGAAGUCGUUGGUGGGUUUCUUCUGCUUAAUUCACGAAAAAGUUAUGUUUUCUGUAUCACAUUCCUUUUCUUCACCUCAUUGUCUUGCAUCAACCAAUACUGAAAAUUUUCACUACAGGAUCUAGUUGAUUUGGCUCCAUUUUAUUAGAUAUAUCUUGUUUAUCAAUUUAAUCAAACAGUAGUUGCAAAGUUUAGAAAAGUCAUCCACCUGUGUGACAAUGCCCCUGUGCCUACCAUUAACCCGAGUGCUCUACCCGGUGACUAGUCGUAGUGCCUUAUGAACCCUAUCCCCACGUCCACCUGAGCACUCGAAUACAGUCAACCUCCAACAACAAGUCUAUCUCAGUAUCUAGUUGAUUUGGCUCCAUUUUAUUAGAUAUAUCGUGUUUAUCAAUUUAAUCAAACAGUAGGUGUAAAGUUUAGAAAAGUCAUCCUCCUGUGCGGCAAUUCCCCUGUGCCUACCAUUAAGCCAAGUGCUCUACCCGGUGACUAGUCGUAGUGCCUUAUGAACCCUAUCCCCACGUCCACCCGAGCACUCCAAUACAGUCAACCUCCAACAGUAAGUCUAUCUCAGUAUGCCAAUAUCCACAAUAGUAAAUACAAGCACGCAACAAGUAUUUAGAGGAUAAACACUCCAAACCAUUUGAUUGUCAUUACAACCUAAAAGGAAUACAAGAGAUAUAGACUAGAGCCCUUUACAAUGCUUGCCUAUCUUUUUUCUAUCUAUAUUCUACUAUGCAUCUAUAUCUAACUAUGCAGAAUAGAAUACUAGAUCUAGAAUAUGUUUAUAUUAGAAUUCAUAAUAAAUCUAUAAGCCACUUCUGAUCCACGUCUUUUGCCAGUUUCCCUCAUUUAUAUAUCCAAAAUUGUAAAUUGUAUAUAACUGUCAACAAGUGCUUUGCCAUGUUCUUAUUGUUGCUACUUGAAGCUGCCCCAAGUUUUCCCCGAGCGUUCGACACCCGAAGCCCAAUAUUUGGCUCGAGCACCUGACCCC
rnacentral:lncRNA from 1 species